CUUUCUUUCUCUCAGGAAUCACGAUUGCAGCCUCUCUCUUUCCCUUCUCGCUCUUGGUCCUCCCCUCCUCACUAUGUUGUUUGUUUCUAAGUAUCGAUCCUAAAAUCCCUGUGUAGAUAUCACUCGAUUUCUCUCUACUUGCUAUCAUUGUAUUGUCAAACAAAGAAGAAGAAGAAGAAUCAGGUGGAUUUCAUUUUCAGAAGAUGAUUUCACUUCAGUAACGUUUGUUGAUUUCCCUCAUUUAUAUUUUAUGUGUUUUGAAUAUUUGAUUUCGUGGGAUUUUAUUAUUGAUUUUAUUGUUUUUCAUUGCUAGUUUUGUGGUUUUGAAUAUUUGAUUUUCUAGGGUUUUAUUAUUGAUUUUGUGGG
rnacentral:misc_RNA from 1 species